rnacentral:rRNA from 1 species
GAUGAACGCUGGCGGCGUGCCUAAUACAUGCAAGUCGAGCGAACAGACGAGGAGCUUGCUCCUUUGACGUUAGUGGCGGACGGGUGAGUAACACGUGGGUAACCUACCUAUAAGACUGGGAUAACUUCGGGAAACCGGAGCUAAUACCGGAUAAUAUUUCGAACCGCAUGGUUCGAUAGUGAAAGAUGGCUUUGCUAUCACUUAUAGAUGGACCUGCGCCGUAUUAGCUAGUUGGUAAGGUAACGGCUUACCAAGGCAACGAUACGUAGCCGACCUGAGAGGGUGAUCGGCCACACUGGAACUGAGACACGGUCCAGACUCCUACGGGAGGCAGCAGUAGGGAAUCUUCCGCAAUGGGCGAAAGCCUGACGGAGCAACGCCGCGUGAGUGAUGAAGGUCUUCGGAUCGUAAAACUCUGUUAUUAGGGAAGAACAAACGUGUAAGUAACUGUGCACGUCUUGACGGUACCUAAUCAGAAAGCCACGGCUAACUACGUG